CCUACGGGUGGCAGCAGUAGGGAAUAUUGCUCAAUGGGGGACACCCUGAAGCAGCAACGCAGCGUGGAGGAUGAAGGUUUUCGGAUUGUAAACUCCUUUUUUUAGAGAAGAUAAUGACGGUAUCUUACGAAUCAGCACCGGCUCACUCCGGGCCAGCCGCCGCGGUGAUACGUAGGGUGCAAGCGUUAAUCGGAAUCACUGGGCGGAAAGAGCGCGUAGGCGGGUUAGCAAGUCAGAUGUGAAAUCUUAUGGCUUAACCAUAGAACUGCAUUUGAAACUGUUAGUCUUGAGUAUGGGAGAGGUAGGUGGAAUUCUUGGUGUAGGGGUAAAAUCCGUAGAGAUCAAGAGGAACACUCAUUGCGAAGGCGACCUGCUAGAACAUAACUGACGCUGAUGCGCGAAAGCGUGGGGAGCAAACAGGAUUAGAUACCCGUGUAGUC
rnacentral:rRNA from 1 species